GUUCCAGCAAAGCAGUUUACCCUCUGAGGCCCUCGCUGUCAGCUCCACGCUCAUACAUCCAUGCCCUGCUGUCGAGCCUGACAGCCAUCUAUUGUUCAUUCACUGCUUCCACCUCGCCACUUAAUGUUCAUCUGUCCAAUAAAGCAAGGUUAUUUUUCCCUGGAAUAAGUGGAUGGUUAUUAUCCAUAAAAUGGUGUCAUCCUGCCCCAUGAAUGUCUACAAACCAAAGUGGAAGAACUUUUAAGUCUGGAUACUUAAUACUGUGCUGAAGUAUGCAGGAAUAAAGCAAUUGUGAGUGGAU
rnacentral:lncRNA from 1 species